UACAGAGGCGGCAAGCGUUGUUCGGAAUUACUGGGCGUAAAGGGCGCGUAGGCGGCCUUCUAAGUCAGACGUGAAAUCCCCCGGCUUAACCUGGGAACUGCGUCUGAUACUGGGAGGCUUGAGUAUGGGAGAGGGAUGUAGAAUUCCAGGUGUAGCGGUGAAAUGCGUAGAUAUCUGGAGGAAUACCGGUGGCGAAGGCGGCAUCCUGGACCAUUACUGACGCUGAGGCGCGAAAGCUAGGGGAGCAAAAGGG
rnacentral:rRNA from 1 species